AGGUGGGAGGAUUGCUUGAGCCUGGGAGGUGGAGGUUGCAGUGAUCCAAGAUCAUGCCACUGCACUCCAGCCUGGGCAACAGAGCAAGACCUUGUCU
rnacentral:miRNA from 2 species